GUUGGGAGGAAUUGCCAAUACAGAGAUGGACUGGAAUAUCAUACAAAAGAUUUGGAUGACCUUGAAAACUGGAAUAAUAGAAAUGGGAUGAAAUUUAAUAGUGCAAAGUGCAAGGUGCUGCAUUUAGGGACUAAGAAGAAACAGUUUUGCU